UAAAAGUCGGCUACUCGGAGGCGCAGA
rnacentral:piRNA from 1 species